rnacentral:rRNA from 1 species
GACGAACGCUGGCGGCGUGCCUAAUACAUGCAAGUCGAACGCUGAAGGAGGAGCUUGCUCUUCUGGAUGAGUUGCGAACGGGUGAGUAACGCGUAGGUAACCUGCCUGGUAGCGGGGGAUAACUAUUGGAAACGGUAGCUAAUACCGCAUAAGAGUAGAUGUUGCAUGGCAUUUACUUGAAAGGUUCGAUUGCAUCGCUACCAGAUGGACCUGCGGUGUAUUAGCUUGGUGGUGUGGUAACGGCUUACCAAGGCGGGGAUGCAUAGCCGACCGGAGAGGGGGAGCGGCCACCCUGGGAGGGGGACCGGGCACAGUGGGCUUGGGGAGGGAGCCAGACGGAAACGGGGGGAAUGGGUGGAAGUCUGAGCGAGCAACGCCGAGGGCGGGAGGAGCGACGUCGGGUCGUAGAGCUCGGUUGUCAGGUUAGAACGAGUGUGCGAGUGGAAAGUUCACUGUGUGACGGUAACGGGUCAGGAAGCACCGGCUAACUACGUG